rnacentral:piRNA from 1 species
UAGGUAUUUGACCUUCGAGGCCCACGGU